rnacentral:rRNA from 1 species
UGCAUGUCUAAGUAUAAAUGAUAUACAGUGAAACUGCGAAUGGCUCAUUAAAACAGUUAUAGUUUAUUUGGUAAUCGAAUUUACAUGGAUAACCGUGGUAAUUCUAGAGCUAAUACAUGCUGUAAAGCCCGACUUCACGGAAGGGCCGUAUUUAUUAGAUAACAGACCAAUAUUCCUCGUGUCUAUUGUGGUGAAUCAUAGUAACUAAUCGGAUCGCAUGGGCUAGUCCCGCGACAAACCAUUCAAGUUUCUGCCCCAUCAGCUUUCGAUGGUAGUGUAUUGGACUACCAUGGCUUUUACGGGUAACGGAGGAUUAGGGUUCGAUUCCGGAGAGGGAGCCUGAGAAACGGCUACCACAUCUAAGGAAGGCAGCAGGCGCGUAAAUUACCCAAUCCUAAUUCAGGGAGGUAGUGACAAGAAAUAACGGGUCGGGGUUCUACCCCGGGACUGCAAUGAGAUGAAUUUACACCCCUUUUCGAGUAACAAUUGGAGGGCAAGUCUGGUGCCAGCAGCCGCGGUAAUUCCAGCUCCAAUAGCGUAUAUUAAAGUUGUUGCGGUUAAAAAGCUCGUAGUUGAAUUUCUGCCAAGGACGACCUACCCACCUAAGGGUGCGUGUCAGUGUUGACCGAGGCAUCCUCCUAGACGCGUCCGAGCUUCACUGUUCGGUUCGUGCUAGGACUUUUACUUUGAGGAAAUUAGAGUGUUUCAAGCAGGCUUUCGCCUUGAAUAUUUUAGCAUGGAAUAAUAAUUUAGGACUUCGGUUCUAUUUUGUUGGUUUCUAGAACUGAAGUAAUGAUUAA